rnacentral:rRNA from 1 species
AGCUCCAAUAGCGUAUAUUAAAGUUGUUGCAGUUAAAAAGCUCGUAGUUGGAUUUCGGGAUGGCCCGGCCGGUCUGCCGCAAGGUAUGUUACUGGCCGAGCUGUUCUUCCUCGCAAAGACUGUGUGUGCUCUUAACUGAGUGUGCUCAGGAUCUGCGACGUUUACUUUGAAAAAAUUAGAGUGUUCAAAGCAGGCGGCUCGCCUGAAUAAUGGUGCAUGGAAUAAUAGAAGAGGACCUUGGUUCUAUUUUGUUGGUUUCUGGAACUGGAGGUAAUGAUUGAGAGGGACUGCCGGGGGCAUUCGUAUUACGGUGUUAGAGGUGAAAUUCUUGGAUCGCCGUAAGACGAACGAGAGCGAAAGCAUUUGCCAAGAAUGUUUUCAUUAAUCAAGAACGAAAGUA